rnacentral:rRNA from 1 species
AGAGUUUGAUCAUGGCUCAGGACGAACGCUGGCGGCGUGCCUAAUACAUGCAAGUCGAGCGAGCUUGCCUAGAUGAAUUUGGUGCUUGCACCAAAUGAAACUAGAUACAAGCGAGCGGCGGACGGGUGAGUAACACGUGGGUAACCUGCCCAAGAGACUGGGAUAACACCUGGAAACAGAUGCUAAUACCGGAUAACAACACUAGACGCAUGUCUAGAGUUUAAAAGAUGGUUCUGCUAUCACUCUUGGAUGGACCUGCGGUGCAUUAGCUAGUUGGUAAGGUAACGGCUUACCAAGGCAAUGAUGCAUAGCCGAGUUGAGAGACUGAUCGGCCACAUUGGGACUGAGACACGGCCCAAACUCCUACGGGAGGCAGCAGUAGGGAAUCUUCCACAAUGGACGCAAGUCUGAUGGAGCAACGCCGCGUGAGUGAAGAAGGGUUUCGGCUCGUAAAGCUCUGUUGGUAGUGAAGAAAGAUAGAGGUAGUAACUGGCCUUUAUUUGACGGUAAUUACUUAGAAAGUCACGGCUAACUACGUGCCAGCAGCCGCGGUAAUACGUAGGUGGCAAGCGUUGUCCGGAUUUAUUGGGCGUAAAGCGAGUGCAGGCGGUUCAAUAAGUCUGAUGUGGAAAGCCUUUCGGCUCAACCGGAGAAUUGCAUCAGAAACUGUUGAACUUGAGUGCAGAAGAGGAGAGUGGAACUCCAUGUGUAGCGGUGGAAUGCGUAGAAUUAUGGAAGAACACCAAGUGGCGAAGGCGGCUCUCUGGUCUGCAACUGACGCUGAGGCUCGAAAGCAUGGGUUGCGAACGGG